AAUAAUUUAAAACAUUUGAUUAAAUGCUGCUUUAUAUAAGUACUUUUUAAGGAGAAUUGUAAUUGAAAUUAAAGUGAUUUUGCACGACUUAAGCCACGUUAUAAUCGUAAGCCAAUAAACAUGCAGUUGUGAUUUAAAAAUCGUUGUAAUCCAGGAGAUGAAGUUUUGUGAUGCGAAUCACGUUUUGAUUCAGCAUUGAUUUUUGUGAAGAAGAAAUCACCCCAAAGCAUUUCUAUUAUUAGCACCAUACACAGGAGAUGUACACCAUGUUUCACGUAAAAUCUCAAUGAACCAGAAUUGUUAAUGGUUUUUGUGACUUAAAAACUGCGAAACGUGACUGGUUUUAUGGGAUUGUAAGUAUUUUUGUCAUCGUUGAAUUUUGAUGAUAAUUUCUACUCUUCUCCAUUGUAUUUAAUUGUAUUGUAUUUAGUUUUACUCACAAACGAGAUAACCACAAACAUUAUCCAUACACACUUUAUCGGAAAAAGUGGUGGAAAACUGUCAUCUGAUGUCUGCAGUACAGAGGACAGGCGUUGGUAUUUCAUCACGAAGAGGAGGGAUUUAUAUGAUUGCACAUAACGAUAGGGUAUGAAGAUGAAGUCUAACACUCAUAUACUUCCAGCUUCAACCAAAACGAUAACCAUUUUCCCAUUUUUCAUGACAUUGUGAGGGAAUUGAAAAUGACAUGGUUUUAAUUUCCUGCAUUAGCAAACUACUUGCUGAUGAAUUAUUAGUUUGAGGUUAUUCCAGCCCCAGGUGCCAUUUCAUUCUACAAAUAGAAGAAAAGAAUCAAACGCUCAAAAUUACCUUCACCCCGAUGCGAUGAUCAGAAUGACCUUAAAACAAAAAAAUACCGUUCGUGUCAAAACUGUUGUUGACACUUCGUCAUGGUGAAUCCCACGACACGUUUGUACUGUAAGUACCUCCCGUGGACAAAGGCACACUAAACAUCGCUCCAGCUCAAAUAAACAUAACGCUAUCCGGAUGUUGAUGACGACAGCUCCAAAAGGUGCUAAUAGGCAAUCAAUUAGUGGUUUUGAUGGAAUUCGAACUCGCUAUAAGCCCGGACACGGCUUUCGAGCGGCAGUAUCAUUUGUGCCUGCAAACCAACAACCUGCAACCUGCAGCCAUUCCGAUGUACUUUCGGCUUUGAGUGAACGGAUUUGCUGAACUCGAUAUUCCUGGUAGACGUGAUUGAUUUGUGAGAGAAAGCUAAACGCAGCGUGAAAAUGAGAAAAUCGAUGCUGCUGGUGACAGUGGUGCUGUUAGCGCAAUGCUUCUGGUGUGCUCCUGUUCACGCCACACCCGGACAUCCUUACGGUGCACCAGUGUACGUUGGUGGUGGCGUUCGUCCAGUUAUUGCACGGCCAGGCAUUUAUCGUGCGCCCGUUAUAUACCGUCCACCGGUUGUGGUACAGAAGGUAAUUCAACCGGUGAUAGUAACCCGUCCUGUUGUUCCAAUUUUGGGUGGUUAAUAAACGAUGAUCGAAAUUCCCAGUAAGGAAAUUAUAAUGCAUCUCACAGAAAACAAGAAACAAUUGCAUUUAUAAUACAACAUGUCAUGACGGAUUUUUUUCUUUAUAAUGAAAAAUAAUAUGCGUUAUGUUAUGUUUUUCAUUUAAUAAAUAAAAAUUAUGAAUGUAAAUCAAUAAAAUAAACACUAACAUUACUCUAAGUUCGAUAAUGAAUGGGUUAUCUUGAAUGGGUAAAAUAAACAGCAUUUAAUAAAACAAUUUAUUUCAAUUAUGUCCACCUUCAUCUAUCCGUCCCAUAGUUACGGUGAAAAAAGCUUGGUGCGUCAUCACUUUAUACGUUUUCUCGCUGCACUUUCUACUCACAAAAAAACCCGUUGAUUCGAACAAAAGUGACUUCAUUUUCAUAAACCGUCGCAACACCGAACAUCAUUUCCGGUAGGCUUUUGUCCUUUGGUUUGCGAACGUUAGAGUUCAGUUUAACAGUUUACCAAGCUAAUGCCUAUGUGUGAGGCAGUGGAGACACAGGGCAAUGGUGGACAGAGAGCAGAAACCAGUGCAUCAUAAUCAACACACCACUCAACAAAAGGCACAAGCCGAAGCACGUUUAGAGGAUUUGAUUUAGAAGGCAAGAAGUGCAGACAGCAAGCGGACCGAUGCACAGCCAAGCUUUCUGAAAGCUCAGCUGUGAACAAGGGUACAAACACUGGUGGCCUACUCUAGUCCACACCACACGCAAGCACCUCGUAAACAGUCGAUUCGUUCCCAGCAUCCCUGCAACGUAUGCGAUAGCUGGUUGUGGUGGCUGUAGCUAAUUUAUUGCACUUUCACGUCCAAUGCACAUGCAGUGAAAGGUCGGAAGGAUACGUCGAGCGACAGGAUAUUUUAUCGUUUACUGCUAGAAGGAAGAAGGCAAAUGGAAGAUGAAGCCGGGAGCAUGAAGACUUCGUUGCUAUUAAUAUUAUUUUUAAUUUCACAUUACCAGUUGUCUGGCAAAAGGGGUUUAAGAUUAAUUAGAUGUCAUUCAAACGGAGGAUGUGAUCGCACCUAUGUUGGGUGGUGCGACCAUUCAAGCUACGAAUGUGGCAAUUGUCUAGCAGUGUGUGACGGUGGGGUUUAUGUUGCCAUGUGAAUUAGUGUGGCACUGGAAGACGUGACGGCUCAUUUACGACAGAUUCUGCGCAGGUGUACCCGAAGCUGUUACGGUGGAAACAGAGUUUAAUCCAACAUAAUUAUCGCUUUUUUGGUUUCAUAGAAUGGUGGCAGCAGAUGGUUACCACAUGGUAUCAGUUAAGCAUUUACUAUGUAUGUUAAACCUAAAUCCUAACACAGUUGUAUUGUGAUACUGGGUUGACCCCAGUAAUACCAAAAUGUGAAAUAAACGGCCAUAGGUAAUUCAAGCGAGAGAGAGAGAGAGAGAGAGAGAGAGAGAGAGAGAGAG